rnacentral:tRNA from 1 species
GAGGGUAGAGCUCAGUGGUAAAGUGCAUGCUUAGCAUGCAUGAGGUCCUGGGUUCAAUCCCCAGAACCUCCA